rnacentral:rRNA from 1 species
AGAGUUUGAUCCUGGCUCAGAAUAAACGUUGGCGGUGCGCCUUAUGCAUGCAAGUCGAACGGGGUUACGGUCUUCGGAUUGUAACCUAGUGGCGAAUGGCUGAGUAACGCGUAAGUAACCUGCCUUGGAGUGGGAAAUAACUUGCUGAAAGGCAAGCUAAUGUCCCAUGUGGUAACGAAGCAAAUGCUUUGUUAUUAAAGCCUUAGGGUGCUCCGAGAGGGACUUGCGUCUGAUUAGCUAGUUGGUAGGGUAAUGGCCUACCAAGGCGAUGAUCAGUAGCUGGUCUGAGAGGAUAGUCAGCCAGAUGGGGACUGAGACACGGCCCCAACUCCUACGGGAGGCAGCAGCAAGGAAUCUUGGGCAAUGAGCGAAAGCUUGACCCAGCGACACCGCGUGAGGGAAGAAGGCCUUCGGGUUGUAAACCUCUUUUCUUGGGGAAGAAUUCUGACGGUACCCAAGGAAUAAGCCUCGGCUAACUACGUGCCAGCAGCCGCGGUAAUACGUAGGAGGCGAACGUUAUUCGGAUUUACUGGGCGUAAAGGGAGCGUAGGCGGUUUCUUAAGUCAGAUGUGAAAUCUUCUGAUUCAAUCAGAAGGCGUCAUUUGAUACUGAGGGACUUGAGAAUAGCAGAGGGAAAUGGAAUCCCCAGUGUAGCGGUGAAAUGCGUAGAUAUUGGGGAGAACACCAGUGGCGAAGGCGAUUUUCCAGGUUAUUUCUGACGCUGAGGCUCGAAAGCGUGGGGAGCGAAGCGGAUUAGAUACCCGCGUAGUCCACGCCCUAAACGGUGGACACUAGACAUGGGAGGUAUCGACCCUUUCUGUGUCGAAGCUAACGCCUUAAGUGUCCCGCCUGGGGAGUACGGGCCGCAAGGCUAAAACUCAAAUGAAUUGACGG